CCCCACACUUUCACCCGAUUCCUCUUUCACAACCACUUUCUUGCCGCCGGCACCUCUAAUCACCAUCAUGCCACCACUUCAUUAUCUAUUGUACUCAGGCAUCCAAAGCACUACCGCUUCAUCGCCAUAGGCCACCACCACCAACCCAAGAUCAUACAUUUCCACCACAGUUACCACACUCAUAUAUUUCCUCGUCCAUCUCAACAAUCUAAAAGCCACAGUUACCACACUAACUUUUACGUUCACACAAGAACCAGCACAAGUUACAGUCAACAGGGGCUAAAACCAUUGGACACCAAGGGAAGAACAGAAGCAUAGUUGGGGCUCAUAAGUCGGCAAUUCAGAUCAAUCGGCAUACAAAUAAUCAAAACUAAACAACAGGGAGUCCUUGAUCUCUAUUUAGUAUUAAUUUAUACUACUGCUUCAUUUUUAAAAUUGCAUCAAUUAAAAUCUUGUGCUGCUGUUAUCGUGAUAAUUUUAGCCUUAAACCCCACUUGAUCGAAACCAUUAAUCGAAUUGACACUAGUGACCGAAUUGACUUCCAUUGUUCCCCACUUAAAUUGAUUGGAGAAUUUGACUAGUGUGUUGACCCUUGCAUUGCCAUUCUACAUGUACAAGAAGUGUUAGCUUGUUUUGGAUUUAAUUAAUCCCAAUAUUUAAAAUUAAAUAAAAAUAAAAAAUUGGUACAAGUUAUUUUCCAUUGCUUGUACGUAUUGUUCACUGAUCUCAUCAUAACACGUCAUUUAGCUGGUAUUACAUUGCAUGUAGUGGCGUAGUGGUCGUCUUGUCGUCUCUAUUUCCAAUACAUUGACCAUGGAUCCAUCCCAAUUUGAUGCACUUACUAGACAAUUAACGCAACUCGCCACUUGCCUAUCGACUGUCCAAUCAGAUAUAACUGCUACUCGUGAGGAGAG
rnacentral:sRNA from 1 species